CAGAGAAUAGUUUAUAAUAAAAAUUUUAAUUUUGGAGAUUAAAGAAGAAAAUAAUUUUUUUCUCUGA
rnacentral:tRNA from 1 species